rnacentral:misc_RNA from 1 species
CUAAGGAUGAUCCUUCAGCGAGCUUCGGCUCACUAUCGGAUCGUUUUAGAAACAUCAGUGGCCAACAAUCGUCAGGAUUGUUGAGCUGCAUUGGCGGGAUUUCGCCGUCUUCGUUUCUCUUUCUUCGCGGACGAACACGCGCUGGGGCUGCAAGUUUGCAGAGUCCCUGGUCCUUGACUGGAUAUGCGUUAGGGGCUUGUAGCUCAGUUGGUUAGAGCGCGCGCUUGAUAAGCGUGAGGUCGGAAGUUCAAGUCUUCCCAGGCCCACCACUUUCAUCGAGUGAGCAUUCGUCUUCUGGUUACGGGGCCAUAGCUCAGCUGGGAGAGCGCGUGCUUUGCAAGCAUGAGGUCGUCGGUUCGAUCCCGUCUGGCUCCACCAGAUGGUUUGAUCAUCGACUGAUCGUGCACCUAAAUCGUCCGCGAAACAUCACUUCGCAUCUUGCUAGUCUGGAUAGACAGCAAGUUGCGUGAUUUCUGACAUCGUAAAGAGGAGAUCGAUCCGAGUUGGAUCGUGCAGCAAGCAAUUGCUACGCGAGACUUCAUUAUCUCCGGAUCAUUUCGGCGCUCGUGCGUCUUUCAAGGGCAGCUCACAAGGCUGCUUCUGGAGAGACAAGCGAGUUGUAAAUGAUCCUUUUAGCGAAGCUUGACCGCCUCGCUAUCGGAACGAUCUUACGAAGCAAGCUGGUCUUUCUAAUCAUUGUCCGGCUGCAGAUAGCGUUCAUCGAGGGCGCGUGCCGCAAGGUAAUUCUGCAGACAACAUUCUGCCGAGUGUGUGGACAUUGAUAAUGAGAGCAAUCAAGUGCCUUAAGGGUGUUCGGUGGAUGCCUUGGCGCUGAGAGGCGAUGAAGGACGUGCUACGCUGCGAUAAGCCGUGGGGAGCUGCGAAGAAGC